rnacentral:lncRNA from 1 species
GAGGAGGUUGUAGGGUGACGGCGCGGACGCCAUUUUGUCGGUGUUUGUCGCAGCGGCUGGAGAGAAACGACGGCGGUUUGGCGACAUUUCUCGGCCAAAAGGCCUUUUGCUUUUGCGGAGAUGCGGCAUUCCAAACGAACUCACUGUCCUGAUUGGGAUAGCAGAGAAAGCUGGGGCCAUGAAAGCUACAGUGGAAGUCACAAACGGAAGAGGAGAUCUCAUAGCAGUACGCAGGAGAAUAGGCAUUGUAAACCACAUCAUCAGUUUAAAGACACUGAUUGUCACUAUUUAGAAGCAAGAUGCUUGAAUGAGAGAGAUUAUCGGGAUCGGAGAUACAUUGAUGAAUACAGAAAUGACUACUGUGAAGGAUAUGUUCCAAGACAUUACCAUAGAGACAUUGAAAGCACUUACCGGAUCCAUUGCAGUAAAUCCUCAGUCAGAAGCAGGAGAAGCAGCCCUAAAAGAAAACGUAACAGACACUGUGCGAGUCAUCAGUCACAUUCGAAGAGCCACCGAAGGAAAAGAUCCAGGAGUAUAGAGGAUGAUGAGGAGGGUCACCUGAUCUGUCAAAGUGGAGACGUUCUAAGAGCAAGAUAUGAAAUCGUGGACACUUUAGGUGAAGGGGCCUUUGGCAAAGUUGUAGAGUGCAUUGAUCAUGGCAUGGAUGGCUUACAUGUGGCAGUGAAAAUUGUAAAAAAUGUAGGCCGUUACCGGGAGGCAGCUCGCUCUGAAAUCCAAGUGCUGGAGCACUUGAACAGCACUGACCCCAAUAGUGUCUUCCGAUGUGUCCAGAU